rnacentral:rRNA from 1 species
UACAGAGGUGGCAAGCGUUGUUCGGAAUUACUGGGCGUAAAGGGCGCGUAGGCGGCCUUCUAAGUCAGACGUGAAAUCCCCCGGCUUAACCUGGGAACUGCGUCUGAUACUGGGAGGCUAGAGUGCGGGAGAGGGAUGCGGAAUUCCAGGUGUAGCGGUGAAAUGCGUAGAUAUCUGGAGGAACACCGGUGGCGAAGGCGGCUCACUGGACCGGUACUGACGCUGAUGCGCGAAAGCGUGGGGAGCAAACAGG